rnacentral:rRNA from 1 species
UACGUAGGGUGCAAGCGUUAAUCGGAAUUACUGGGCGUAAAGCGUGCGCAGGCGGUUGUGCAAGACAGAUGUGAAAUCCCCGGGCUUAACCUGGGAACUGCAUUUGUGACUGCACGGCUAGAGUGUGUCAGAGGGGGUAGAAUUCCACGUGUAGCAGUGAAAUGCGUAGAUAUGUGGAGGAAUACCGAUGGCGAAGGCAGCCCCCUGGGAUAACACUGACGCUCAUGCACGAAAGCGUGGGGAGCAAACAGG